GAGCUAAUUCAAUGUUCCUCAGAUUUUAAAUGGCCACUAUGGGGUGGCUGGUCCAGAGUGAGUAAACUGGAUGUUUCAAGCAGCUAUGCCAGAAUGGACACCUUAGCUAAACCACCUUCACCUCCUCAGCACAGCCAGGAUGACUAGGAGACAAUGCAGAAUGACCCACCUGAGCAGCCCCUCAGUCAUGUUCAGUUGGACUAUCACUAGCAGACCCUUCGGCUAUUCCAGUAUCGCCAAAUUCUCCCGUUUAGUCCAACCAGUUUUAACAGAUAGCAUGAUGGAAGAAUUUAAGGUCCUUCACACGCACCACUUUUUAAAUGACCAAUCUUUUUACAGCUAUGCCAGAAU